rnacentral:pre_miRNA from 1 species
AGUGGGAUAGCUGGGUCAAAUGGUGGUUCCAUUCCUAGUUUUUUGAGGAAUCUCUAUAUUGCUUUCCAAAGUGCUUAUACUGAUUUGCAGUCCCACCAGCAAU